ensembl:lncRNA
GUCACCCUCCCUCCCGGUGCUGCCUCUGCCUCCUUCCUUCCUGCUCCUUCUCCCCGCAGCCCUCUCCCGUCCCCAGAGCCAAGCCCCCAGAGGGGGGUUGGCAUACCCCUCCAGCAGAUGGCCAGUCCAUCUAUCCUACAAGGAGGGGCGACCAGGCUUUCACCAGCACAGACACCAAGCCGUACCGAGGCCAGAACCCCAAAAUGACCAGGCUCUGUUCUUCCCCGGGGUAGCACGUGGAUUCAAGGAUCUCUGAAAAAAGCUGCUCUUAAAAGCUCUGGCUGGAUGACUGAGGUGGAGCCCUGAAACCUGCAUGUUCAACAAGCACCCCCAGGUAGCUGAUGCAGGCAGCACAGGGACCUCCACCCUUUGAUGGGAGCGUGUCCUGGCCAGAGACCGGAGGAACCACCACUGCGACGAUCCCUGCAAAGCUACCAUCUCCUCCUCUCUCCCUUGCCUGGUCCCUAACCCCCACCCCCGCAUCCUCUCCAAAGUGAGACUAGGAGGCCUGAUCGAUGCCAGGGAAGCCUUGCUGCUGUCAGCUGAUGGAUCUGAAAGUCAGAAACAACAACAAAGGAUGAUGCUUUCUGCCUGCCUCACAGAGGAUCCUCGAGUGGUUACAUCCCACAUUACUCCAGUGCAACACCAAGACCAGGAAACUGGCAUUGGUACAAUGUGCGCAUAUCAUUCUGUCAGUUUAUUACCUGUGGAGAUUCAAGAAAUCACAGCAAUCAACCUCCGCAACUGUUCCAUCACCACAAAGACGUCCCUUGUGCUACCCUUCACUGUCACAUCCACCUCUACCAUCCCCAGCUCUUGGCAACCACUCAUCUGUUGGCCAUCUCCACGACUGCCACAUCAAGAAUGUUAUGUAAAUGAAAUCAUAGGCUAUGCUGGCUCUUGAGAAUAGCUUUCUUCACUCACAAGGGCCUUAUUUUAAAAUAAGUAUUUACUGAGUACCAACUACAUAGGCAGGUGUUAGCCCCUUUAGGAAUAUAUAUCACAUGAGAGUCUUCUGGUUGAAAGUGACAGAAGCCACCUCAAAUUGUAAAACGAGAAUGUACUGGUAUCAGUAAUGGAAAAGCCCAGAGGUAGGGCUGGCGUCAGGUCCAGUUGGAUCUAGAAGCUUGUCAGGACUUCUUUUAUUCUCCGUCUUUGACUCUGCUCCCCCUGGUGGUGUUUUCCCUAGAAGGCUGGCUCUUACCACUUGGCAGCUGCCCAUCACUCACUCCCACAUCCUGCCCAAUCGCAGACCCAGGAGAAAAGUUCUAGCAAGUGCUCUGACCCUGACUGGCCCAGCUUGGUGCCCACAUGAUGCUGAAAUCUAUCACUGGUAUGAGAAGG